CAAGCAAAUGGUUAUGACUGUGGCAUAUUCGUGACAGAAUUUGCGAGAAGAAUAACAGAGGGGGGAGAAGUUGGUCCUGGAUUACUUGCCGAUAUCCAUGUAAAUAGUAAAAGACCAUACCUUAAAAAACUGAUUCGAAGCUUUGCCAUUUAGCGAAGCAAUUUGUAAUGAAGCAGAAUUUAAGUUUAAAGCUGGUGCAAAUGAAUAACAUUCUUAUAUUUAUAACAAGUGAUGUAAAUAAUUUUUUUACAAGUAACGACGUUACAUAUAAUUGUUACUUUUGUAGAAACUAUAUGGGUAACUAUGAAGUAACAUGUUGUACAGAUAAAACUAUUCAUAAAAACAAGUUUAAAUUUUUCGAAAAACGAAACUAUAACGCGUUACUAAUGAAUAACACGACUAAGAGUGAGAAAAUAGUGUUUGUAGGCUAUUUCUCUCUCAGGAUUGUAUUUAACAAUGCGUAACAUAUUCCUGUGCCAAAUAUGGAGUUUUGU